rnacentral:tRNA from 1 species
GGCUCUUUGGCUCAACCGGCAGAGCACCGGCCUGAAGACCCGGAAGUCGGGGUUCGAUCCCCCGGGGAGCCACCA